GAUGAACGCUGGCGGCGUGCCUAAUACAUGCAAGUCGAGCGAACGGACGAGAAGCUUGCUUCUCUGAUGUUAGCGGCGGACGGGUGAGUAACACGUGGAUAACCUACCUAUAAGACUGGGAUAACUUCGGGAAACCGUAGCUAAUACCGGAUAAUAUUUUGAACCGCAUGGUUCAAAAGUGAAAGACGGUCUUGCUGUCACUUAUAGAUGGAUCCGCGCUGCAUUAGCUAGUUGGUAAGGUAACGGCUUACCAAGGCAACGAUGCAUAGCCGACCUGAGAGGGUGAUCGGCCACACUGGAACUGAGACACGGUCCAGACUCCUACGGGAGGCAGCAGUAGGGAAUCUUCCGCAAAGGGCGAAAGCCUGAUGGAGCAACGCCGCGUGAGUGAUGAAGGUCUUCGGAUCGUAAAACUCUGUUAUUAGGGAAGAACAUAUGUGUAAGUAACUGUGCACAUCUUGACGGUACCUAAUCAGAAAGCCACGGCUAACUACGUG
rnacentral:rRNA from 1 species